rnacentral:rRNA from 1 species
UACAGAGGCCUCGAGCGUUAGGCGGAAUCACUGGGCUUAAAGCGUGUGUAGGUGGAUGCCUAAGUACCUUGUGAAAUCCCAUGGCUUAACCAUGGAAUUGCUUGGUAUACUGGGUGUCUUGAGCCACUCAGGGGCGAGCGGAACAAACGGUGGAGCGGUGAAAUGCGUAGAUAUCGUUUGGAACGCCAAUGGUGAAAACAGCUCGCUGGGGGUGCGCUUACACUGAGACACGAAAGCCAGGGGAGCAAACGGG